UGAAAUUUUUUGAGGUGCAGGAUCAGAGGUUGUAGAUGUAGGAUGAAACACUCAAAUCGUAGUUAAUUUUUUUAUUUUUUUUUAAAAGUUCCUGAGAGUUCAUAAGAAAACCGCCCCGAAAUAUAUAUUUUUUUAAUUUUUAUAAUAAUUUUCCCUUACCUGCUCCCGCGCCUUCAUUCCUUCAGCAUAAUCUAAAUUUCUCCCCAAACCCUAAUUCUUCCUUCCCGCUGCCUUCAAUCUCCCAAACCUCCUUUCAUUCCUUGAGCAUAAUCUAAACUUCAAACAAUUUCUUCAAGAUUUGUGGUUCCCUGCAUCCGUUUGGUUCCCCGUAUCACAAUCUUCAAACAAUUUUCAUGUUGGUUCCUCGCAUCUGUAUGUCUUCGUGUUGGUUCCUUGUUUGGAAACUAGGCGUUCGUCGAGGUAUUUUAUUGUAGAAAGAGCACAACACUCUUAACAAGAAAUAGAGGUGGAGUGUGAGUUUUUGAAGAGGUGCUGCGAGAAUCUGACGGAGGAGAACAUUGCAGAAGGAAGUGCAAAGGAAGUCCCUGUUGCAUAGGUGGAGUAGAUUGAAGCAAUAUUGGAAGAAAAAGUGAAAAGCCAUGAAGGAGGAGCUCAAAAGGGGUAAAAAAAAGGCACCAAAAAGGAAGGAAACCCGAAGCCCAGGCGACAUGAAUGAAAAACAGCGAAGCUAAAUUCACCGCUGGUCGCCCGGGCGACGGACCUGACGCCCGGGCGACAGACGCCUGAAGCUCGGGCGUCCAAAACUGGCACCCAAGCCUCACAAAAGCCUUGAUUCACGCUUGGGCGAGCUCCCUGCGAUGCUUGAGCGUGAUUUAACGUGGAUCAGACCCUGAUUCUGCUCUGGUUUGAUUCGUUUGGACCGCGCCGCACUUUGGGACGCGUCUGGCACUAUUUAAAGCACCCUGGGGCUCUAGGUUUUGCAUCCCUGGCAGAAGAGAGCAUAGUAAUACACUCCUAGCCAAUUCUUAGUCUU